GCCGGGCGUGGUGGCUCACGCCUGUAAUCCCAGCACUUUGGGAGGCCGAGGCCGGUGGAUCACCUGAGGUCAGGAGUUUGAGACCAGCCUGGCCAACAUGGUGAAACCCUGUCUCUA
ensembl:misc_RNA Metazoa_SRP Metazoan signal recognition particle RNA